rnacentral:lncRNA from 1 species
UCAUUUUAAUGCAUUCAUUUUAUUUUUCGAGCAUUUUCGUGCUCGAUUUUUAUUCAUUUUAGUUCAUUUUAUUUUUUUGUCUUUUAUCAAAAUAUUCAAAAAAAAAUAAUAAAUAGAUUUAACUAUAUUUUAAUUUUAGUUUUAUUUUGUUUAUUUUAAAACAUUUGAAUUUUAUUUAUUUUAAUUUUUUAAAGUCAUUUUUAAUCUCAUAAACAUCUAAAAGG